rnacentral:lncRNA from 10 species
CUAAAACUUUAUUACUAUAAGCAAAUAUCACAACAAAAACAACCUUAUAACAAGAGAAGACAAAAUGUAACCGAUUCUCAUCAGACUGCAGGAAGAGUCAUCACCAGAGUCGAAAGGAAGAUGCCUGGGAGCCUGCAGUCGAAGUUUUAAGCAAACGUCACAGCAAAAACAGCCUUAAAAGAAGAGAAGACAAAAUGUAACCAAAGCUUACCAGACCACAGGAGGGUCAUCACCGGAGUCAGAAGGCGGACGCCCGGGAUCCUGCAGUCGGACUUGGGUCAUGCCCCAGCAUACGACAACACAGCAGCCUUCAGCUCCUCCUUCGUGUAAGCUCCUUUUAUUAGUCCAGUUCUUACCUUGGACACCCUCUGUUGCUUCCUUGGGAGGGCCCUUCCCGAGCAAGCAACAUUUAAGCAAUUGCUCCGGGAGUGGUGUUUUGGGAGCAGUGUUGCGGGACAUACUCGGGGGACUUGAACAAUCGUUCCAGGAGCAGUUUCCAGGAAUGUGUUCCAGGAUUUGAGUUAAGUUCUAGGCUUUUAGCAAAAUCUUACACAAGGUGUUUACCUUUACACUUUAGGUGCCCCUGCCUUUUAUAGACGGAGGCAUAUUUUAAAAUGGUGUUAGCGUGGCCAAUAUUUUCUCUUCCUACAACCACGCUGGG